rnacentral:lncRNA from 1 species
AAAAAACUUUUAUAUUUUUGCACAUUGUUCUCUCUCUUGUAUAUCACAGCACUCAAAAACAACCAAAAAAUGAAUGACUGAAUGAGCUAAUGAAAUAUCAUUACUAUACCUUUGUACAAAUAACGAAACCUGCUUCUUUGCCCCAAGCAUUGACUGUUAGCUCAGAACUGUCACUAACAAUGGUGAUGGAUGGUGCUGGGAAGAAGCUUUUGGACCCAUCACGAGUAGCACACAGUGCAAGAUCCAGAGUGUACAGCACACCGUGCUCAGUAAAGUGCUUGGGCAAAUUCCUCUGAUCCUUAUCACAAUCCUAUAACAGUCGGUGUAAUACCAUUUCCUUUUUACAAAGGUGGCAUACUAAGGUUAGAGGGGAAAUGAGUUUGCUUAAUGCGAGUGCGAGGAGGUAGAGCACCAAAGCAAAAGGAUGAAAGCUGGCCUUUAUUAUCAAUAAGACAAAGCCUUAUUUGGUUAAAGAAAUGUUUGUUUGGAAUUUUAAUUCAAAAGAGACUCUGGUCUGUGUUGAAAGACCUACGUGUGAGUGGCAUUUGCUGUUGACAGAAGAUCAGAGCUUACAGAGGAACACGUUAAAUAAUCCACUCUUUUCCUCAGUGGGUCUCGAUUGGGCAUUUUCUCCUCUUUCGAUGGUACACUUUCAAACAGGAAGAUUCACUGAUCUUAGGUGUUGUCCGAUGCAUUGUGAUAAAUGUAUGCACCCAUGUAGCCAAAACCACAACUAGAAUACAUGGCGUUGCCAACUUUGCUUUUUAUCCCACUCUCUCCCAGAGGCAAUGGCUCCUCAGGUUUCCGGCUUCAUAGAAUGAUUUCAUUUGUUCUCGAACCAGUUGUAACAAUGGGUUAUACAGUAGGCAUGUUUGAGUGCCUGGGUUCUCCUGAGCCUAAAGUCUUGGAGAUUCAUCCAUUCAUCCUCCGUCAGAAGUUUAUUCUUUAUUGUUGCUGAAUAGUGUUUGAUUGCAUGAAUAUAUUGCAAUUGUGUAUUCAUGCUCCUGAUGCGUGAGCCUGGGUUGUUUACACUUUUAGGUUAUUAUGAAUAAGAUCACCAUGGAUAUAUGUGUGUAAUAUUUUGAGAGGCAUAUUUUUAUUUAUUUUUCGUGAAUUUGUAGGAGUGGAAAUAGUGGAUCAUAAGAUAGCCGCGUAUAUAAAUUUGCAAGAAACUGCCUCAUGAUUUUUCACAGAUGUUGAGCGGUUUUAUACUCCGACCGGUAACAUCUGAGGGUGCCAUUGUUCUGCAUUGUCUUCCACAGUGAAUUCUGUUAGUCGUUACCUUCAGCCUUUCUAAUGAGUGUGAAGUAACAUAUUCUGGUGGCUUUAAUUUGCAUUUCCCUGAUGGUUCUGAUGAACGCACUGUCAUGUGUUUGUGGACAUUCGUCAAGUCUUUUGCCCUUUUUUUAACUGACUUGUUUGAUCAUCAUAUCAUUAUUUAUUUGCGGAUAUUAUUUAGAUAGUCUGGGUACAGUGAUAUGAUUUACAUACUGCAGAUAUUUUCUUAUUUUAUGAUUUGGUGUCUCGUUUUCUUAUGGGCGUCUUUCAAUGAGCAGAAGUUUUAAGUUUGAUGAAAUCAGAUCUAUUAUAAUUUCUUUUAUCGUUAGUUCUUUCUUUGGUUCUGUCUAGAAAAUCCUUUCCUAGUUGGUCACAAAAAUAAUUUCCUAUGUUUUCUUCAAUGAACUUCAUAGUAUAGCUUUUGUAUUUAGGUUUGUAACCUGCCCCUGAUUAAGUUAAUUUUUGCAUGCUGCCUGUGAUAUGAAUCAUAUUUAAUUCAGCCAAAUAUGUUGAAAAGACUUUCCUCUCCUGACUGAAUUCCACUGAAAUCUUUUCAGAAGUCAUUUGGGUUAUUUAUGGACAUUCUGCUCUGUUCCAUUGAUCUUUUGGUCUUUGUGUCAGUACCCAGAUUAUUUUUAACAUUAUAGUAAGUCGUAAACUAAGAUAAUGUUAAUCCUUUAAUUUCCUUGUUCCUUUUCAAGAUUCUGAAGCUGGCAUUCUGUACUUAUGUGGAGCCUACUCUUCUUCCUGUGUGCUAAUUGAAAAUGACUCUUUCAUGAAUAGGUUAUUGAAGAAUUCCAGUACAUAAACACACAUGCAUCUUUUCACCAUGCUUCCUAGAAGCAGUGUGUGACGUGCCAUGAAAUUUGUCAAGUGUCUGAGCAAUUCUUUGGUGCAGUGAAACAGGUUUCCUUACAAGUGUGCCAUCUGCUGUCAGUGUUGGCCAACUGCAUUCAUUACAAGACGAUAAACUUAAUUUCCUUUCUUUGUUCAUUCAGUGCCUUCAGCGACAGACUAUCUAGCCCAGUCCCUAACACACUCCUAACACACACACACACACACACACACACACAUACAGUGUGUACACUGGCAAAUAGAUGCACCAUUGUUUUGUAUCUUAUUUGGGUCCUGGCUAGUGUGUUCUUCCCUUCCCAGGAGUUUUUUGGGAUGCCCGGAGGAUUCAGAUUUCUGCUUGGAAUAAGCCUCAGAGAACUCUUAAAAAUGGCUUUUUGUCAGGUCAUUGCCAAUCUGUUCCAAACCUCAUUAUAGAUAAUUACUUUCAGUGUUUUUUAAAGUAUUCUGUGUCGUCUCUAAGACUUCCAGGUAGUAGGAUCCAUUAACAACAUGAAAAGUUGUUUUUAGACAUAACAAUUUGUAAGUAAAAAGUUCAGACACAUCAAAUAUAUUUUGCUUCCCUAUUCUCUUGCCAUUUGGAGGGCUUAAGAAACUUGAGAAAACUUGAAAAGGUUUACCAUGGGCAGGAACUAUUACUUGCUAGUAACGUGUUUUUAGCAUUACCAGCUAAACACGAGGUCAGUUUUUGAAAGUCAGUGUUUAAUUGGAGAGUGAUUGAUUGACUGAUUAAGCUAUCGUCCUCCUCUUUGAGUCCUGACAUAUGACUUUCCAGGCCUACCUUUGUGAUUAAACUUAGCCACAGUGAGUACUGACGAUUUUUUUUGCAUUAAAAUCAGAGAUUUUGUUCUAAAGUUGGUUUUGUAGUUUGGCUCUUUUUAACAAAUGUGUUUUAUACCUUUUUGUAACAUUAGAAUUAGAUUUUAUUUUGUAAGGCCAUUUUAAGCAUCAAAAUCAAUGAUGAGUCCACACAUAGCACCCGUGAGUGCUGAAUGCUUUGUGUGUAUUAUUUCUUUCUUUCUCUUUCUUUCUUUCUUUCUUUUUAUGGCUUUUUAUGGCCACACCCACGGUAUGUGGAGGUUUCCAGGAUAGGGGUCCAAUCACAGCUACAGCUGCCAGCCUCCACCACAGCCACAGAAACGGCAGAUCCAAGCCGUGUCUGCGACCUGCACCACAGCUCAUGGCGAUCCUUAACCCACUGAGUGAGGCCAGGGAUUGAACCCCCCACCUCAUGGUUCCUAGUCGGAUUCAUUUCCAUUGCUCCACGACGGGAACUCCUAUUUCAUUUUAUCAUUAUCCCCAUUUACAGAGGAUGACACUGUGCUUAGACAGCUGAGAUAAUUUACCCCUGAUCGUAAGCAAAUGGUGGAGCAAGGCCAGUAUUUUAACUAGGUCUAUCUGAGUUCAUAAUAAUCUCUUCAUACACAUUACUGACUAUUUCUCUAUUUCAGACAUUUGCUUUUUAAAACAGCUGUCCAUAAAAGCUCUGAUGAAGUUUUCAAAUCUCAGCUCUUUUCUAAUUAAAAUUUGUGUUGUUAAUAAAUUUAUAAAUUUAACAUAAAGGAGAAUUUUUUUAGAAAAAGAAAAUGUAAUGGUGUGUACAUGUCUAGAACAUAAUGCUGCUUCUCAGCGGGGUCUUUCUUUUUUCUAUAAUUUUGCAUCUUCACUACUCCAUCAGCCAUUGUUCAUCUUGUCUUAAUCUACAAUUUCCUGCAAGUAUUAGCAUAUGCAUUUGUCAGUCUGCUUAUAAGCUUUUAUUUUUAUCUUUUACAAGUUGAUACAUACUUGAUUUAUGGUGUAAGUUUAAUAUAUACACCAUAAUCAUUCAGUACAUGUAUAAAAUUGGAUUUUUCUUCCUAACAUUUUCUGAGUCUUAUUUCUGGUCAACUCAGCUCUCUAAUUUUAUACCACCAGGAUGAAAGAAUGUGAGCAGGUGACGUGCAGUAUUCUCUCUCUCUCUUUUCCUUGUAUGACAGCUAAUCCGUUAAGAAGCAGAAAGUGGCCGGUGCAUUUUAUUGUCUCAGGCCUGCUUUUCCAUUUUUGUGAGGAUGCUCUGCGCUCUUUGGACCUCUGUGUGUUCACGUCUGAGAAUGGAGGUCUGUUGUGGACACGUCGCGCCCGCAGUUACCAGCACGUCCUGAAGUGCACACUUUAUCCUCCCCCUGCUGGGUCCAUCUCAAAUUCAUGUCUGGGAGUCCAGGAUCUGAAAACACUUGAUGUGUCUGAAUAUGCAGACAAUGCAGAGAUGGCUCAUAGGCCCAGGAAAUGCCUGGAGAUAAUGAAAGAAUCAGUCUAGCUUCUAUCUGCCAGAGUUUUCAAUGGACCAUUUAGUUACCAAGGAACAGGUCAAGUAUGAGCAAAAAAGAACAGCAUAUGGAAGCACAGCAUUCUAGCAUAGUAAAAAGGAAAACUCCUGAGAAAACCAAAUUCUUAGGCUCUACUACUGAACUUAUGAAUGUAAUAUGAAUUUAAAUUGAUAUGACUUUACUGAUACAAAUUCAGAUUUAAAAUAUGAAUUUAGGUGGGUUCCUCAAGCUCUAUAUAGUAAAGCAAUGGUAAUGCCUUUGACUAUAAGCUCCUCGAGGAUCAGGACAGCAUCUUAUAAAUCACUGUAUUGCAUAAUAACAACUUCGAAAAACAUCAACAUGUCAUAUAAGGAUUUUAAUCUUUUUGACCAAGUAUUCCUUCAAAAUAAUUUUGAAAAAAAUGUACUCUAAUCUAUAUCUUAAUUUUUCAUUAUGUCUUCAUAAGGAUAUAAUUUUCUCUAUAUCAUAAAUAUUGAUUCUACAUAAAAGUGUUAUAUCACACUUUCAAUUGUAUGCAGUAAAAUAUAAACAUCAUAGCAAAUUAAAAUUCACUGAUAUCCAUUUAAACAGUAGAAGUACAAGCUCAGUUUUAAGAGAUGGGAAUUUUAAGGUGUUAGUUUUCUUCUUAAAAUUUUCCUUCUGGUUCAGUUCCCCCCCCCCACGUAAUUAUUAUUGGUCCACAACGUUCGAAAAACAUUAAUGUAUUUAAAAUGUUUAUGACUGCUAAAGAUUUAUAUGAAACACGUCUCAAUUAAGUGAAGAGGUGCUGCCAGUGAUGUUGAAUUAAGGAGAAUUCAGGCUUCUCCUCAUGAAGACCAUUCCUGACCCCCUGGACCUGGUUAGACCUGCUCAGUUUAAUUCUAUUGAGCCAUCAGUAAGCGAAAGAGAGUAAGAGCUGACAGAAAUGCAGCUAGGAAAGAGAAGUCAUAACAAAAAACAGUGGCCAAAUAAAGCAUAGUUAGAACAAGAAGUGAUUUACUACAGUUGCAUGAUUUUGGAGAUUGAAGUUUCAGCAGAAGACAGUUAAUGGAAGUUAGAUUGGAGAGAAUAUUAAAGAAGGGUCGUGGAAAAGGAGAGGCAGUAAAUGAAAAGAAAAAUUCCAUGAAAUUGGGGUAUGUGAGCUUGGCGGGGGGGGGCUUAUGGUGACUGCUCCAAGCAGUGCCACAUCAUCGUUAAUGGAUGAAUGAAAGGCUUUCUAAGAUGUUAUAAGAAGCCAGCUGGAACUGGAGUUCCUGUUUUGGCUCAGCGCAUCAAGAACCCAGCAUAGUCUCUGUGAGCAUGCAGGUUUGAUCCCUGGCCUCCUCAGGGUUAAGCAGCCAGCACUUCCACAAGCUGCAGUGUAGGUCGCAGAUACGGCUCAAAUCUGGUAUUACUGAGGCUGUGGCCUAGGCCUGCAUCUGUAACUCUGAUUUGACCCCCUAGUCCGAGAACUUUCAUAUGCCACUGGUGUGGCUGAAAAAAUAAAAAAAUAAAAAUAACAAAAGAAAAGAAAAUGGAGUUGGAACAUCUGAAUUAUCAGUAGGCCAAAUUUACAUAGUUCUGUGUUUUUUUCCUCAGAAAGGACUCAGCUGAAAUCAAGACCAUCUGAAGUGUAUAGUAGGGUAAUCCAGGAUUUAAGACUGGAAUAGCAGAAGGGUUAAGGAGGCAGUGGGGUUGAGAGCAUUAUUCAAGUCCUUAUUCAUAGAAAUAUGGAAGAUCUCAGCACCCUGAGCAGACUAUUUCCAAGUAUUAACAAGUCUAAAAAAGAUAACAUUUCCUGCUGAAACUGCUGCUUCUUUUCCAAGCAAAAUAUGUUAUUCUCAUGUCUUGAACAUCUGCUGCCAGGAAAAAAAAAA